AUUGAACGCUGGCGGUAGGCCUAACACAUGCAAGUCGAACGGUAACAGGGAUCAGCUUGCUGAUUCGCUGACGAGUGGCGGACGGGUGAGUAAUGUCUGGGAAACUGCCUGAUGGAGGGGGAUAACUACUGGAAACGGUAGCUAAUACCGCAUAACGUCGCAAGACCAAAGAGGGGGACCUUCGGGCCUCUUGCCAUCGGAUGUGCCCAGAUGGGAUUAGCUAGUAGGUGGGGUAACGGCUCACCUAGGCGACGAUCCCUAGCUGGUCUGAGAGGAUGACCAGCCUCACUGGAACUGAGACACGGUCCAGACUCCUACGGGAGGCAGCAGUGGGGAAUAUUGCACAAUGGGCGCAAGCCUGAUGCAGCCAUGCCGCGUGUAUGAAGAAGGCCUUCGGGUUGUAAAGUACUUUCAGCGGGGAGGAAGGGAGUAAAGUUAAUACCUUUGCUCAUUGACGUUACCCGCAGAAGAAGCACCGGCUAACUCCGUG
rnacentral:rRNA from 1 species